UUUUAAUUAAUUAAAUUGUACUUGCUUUAACGGUGAAGGAAAACAUCGUGAGGAAACUUACAUGCCUGAGAGUUUUCCAUAAUUUUCUCAAAGGGGUGUAUAGUCUGCCAAUAAGCACAUGGCCAGCGUGGGCUUUAACCAAAACCUUCUAGUUCUGAGAGGAGAUU